GAGAGAGAGAGAGUGUGUGUGUGUGUGUGUGUUCUGGACGUGCCUCUCUCGCAUUGGUCGGCGCUGUUGAUUUGUGCGAUCCAUGGCUGAUUUGUUUACUUGUGGAUUAGGUGAUAAAAUAUUCUGGUGGGGGUCCGAGUUUUACUUUUGGCCGUGUAUUGGUUGACUAAUACAAUAGUUCUCCAGGUCAAGGGGGUUUCCACGGCUUUCUUUAUCAGAUCUGCAGUGCAAUAAAGUAGAUUAGAUUGUUUCUUCCUGAAUAAACUGAGAAGGACGUAUCGCUUUCUUAUGCCUGGAGUUAUGGCCAAAAAUUAGUCAUGGACAUGUUGUGAAAGUUUUGUUUUAUAAUUGACCCUAAGGUUACACUAUUUCGAGUUUUAGACUAGUCUCCAGUGGAUAGCCAGAGGAUGGCAAAAAAACACAUGGUUUGAGGUGAUAGGUUUGUCGAGAUAAAGAAAAGGUUAUAGGGAUGAAAACAGAGGAAAAGGAAAGUUGAAAGGUAUACAAUUGAUCUCAGGGAAACUUUUCUUUUGAGCUGAUGUUCUCCUUAGUGAGAUGACAGCUAGAGCUUUUAAGGGUUGGUUUUCUAUCGUUAUUGAAACCUCUUUGAUAUCUGAUCCCUGGAUGGGCGUUCUUUAUUUGACCAUCUCAUUUUGAAAUUUAGCUGGUGCUGAUGAUGCAUCUGUGAAUGCAGUUUUUCUGAUUAAUUAAUUUGAUACAGAAUAUAUUUAACUCAACUUGGGAACAAACACCUUUCUAACAAACAAAUUGAAUCUGCUCCUCAAAGUAGGGGAUGCAAUGCAUUUGACGACCAUCCAAUGGCAUGUGUGACACUAUCUGUACUGUAUUGCGGGGAAAAUGGUGAUGAAGAUGUCACUGUAAAAAUCCUCUACUGUGGGGUUUGUCAUUCUGACGAUUACAUUGCCAAGAUUGAAUGGGGAUUCACAAGAUACCCCGUUGUUCCUGGGUAGGUUCUGUUAAUGUUCGAGAUAUUAGAUUAUCUUCUUCUGCCUUUUCACCUUUACAGCCUAAUCAAAUCAUUUAAACAAGGGGGCAAAGAACUGGACAUUGUGUAGCACUCUUAAGCAAAAUGAAGGUUGUUUGAAGUUGUGUUCAGAGUCUGAUGCCAAUGUGAAUUUCAGUAUGGCAUGAAAUUGUUGGAACUGUGAUGAAAGUGGGGAGCAAUGUGAAGAAAUUCAAAGUGGGUGAGCGAGUAGGUGUUGGGGUCAUAGUGGGCUCCUGCAAGAAUUGUGAGCUGCCAGCAGGAUCUGGAAAACUACUGCCCCCAGACAGUAUUUACCUAUAAUGCCCAUUUCCCAGAUGGAACAAGAACUU